rnacentral:lncRNA from 1 species
CUAGGUCAGAAUCAGGUGCAGGGCAUCUAUUUGGGACAGCUCCAAGCUUCGCAGUCUUGCGCACCUUGGUACCCACAUACCCCAAACGGGGCAAGAACAAGAAGAUGAAAGCUGUGCACCCCCAACCCCAACCCCCACCCCCAGGGCAAGGACUGUAGCCUGCAGGAGGACAGAAUUUGUGACCUGUUUUCAAACAAGCCAGCAGAAGCAAGAAUACAGUCAUUCCGCAGGCAGAAACUGUAGGCUACUUUUCGCCCACCUUCAACACCGUAAACUAGGAUCUCAAACCUUCAGAGCUCUCCUGUUUCCUUCCUCUUGCCUGUUCUGUUUCUUGCUUCUUCGCAAGUGUCCACAAAAACCAGCUCCGUAGCUGGAUCCUAGAGAGGCUGGACUCUGCCAAGGUUUGCUAGUCUCCCCGACUCCCCCUGCUGGUGGGUUUAACUACAACCCAAAAUCAAAAAAGCAGCUGUCCAAAAUAUUUUUCAAGUCAACUCCCAUGAUAAUAGAGUAAAUCAGAAAGGGAAGAGAAAAGAGAACAUCGAAGGAGUUCAACUCAUGCUCUAGGCUGCCUUGCAUGGUGAUUGAUGUGAGCCGGUCAUGCACUGUGACAGACGGGAGCUGGAGGCUUAAUAUCCUUUCGGAAACUAGCCUUGGGAUCAGGAGCUUUGGUAUAAAGGACGAUGAAGGAGAACUCGCCGAGGCCAGCCGAAGCCAGCCUGCUGAAUGCUGCUGUAAUUACACAGUAGCCUGGAGUAGCUCUUCUCAAAUCAAAUUAUGAGCCUGGAUUACCUAAAACUCUCAGGGCACCGUCCAGGUUUUCAUUUGUCUGGAGGUUGCUGUCAGCAAGCAGGUUUUUUUUUUUUCCUUCUCAUUAUUCUUUGCAAGGAUUAUCAAGGCCCCACUUCCGAGGCAGUAUCCCAGAGCUAGGAGACUCUGGGAAGAGGGCCGUUUUCUCACAAGGCUUGUCUCCCUGUGCACUUAUCGCUUACUUUUCAAAAGUAUAAAAGGAACAAAAUGAAAAGAAACUCUUUUUUUCCGUGUUUCAUACUUUUCUAUCAUUUGCAUAUCAAAGUUUAUCUCCAGCUGAGUUUACUCAUGAUUCUUUGGCAAAUAUUUAUGCUUUGUUAAUGUCUCAACCACCUAUACACCAAUUAGAACAAGAGUCAACAGGCUCAACCAUAUUUGGAUCAUUGUUUGAACACCUGACUGUCCCCUGGGAAGUGUGCACUGCACUAGAAAUAAGAGGAAUAUGAAGAUCAUCUAGAGGUCACGGCUCCUGGAGUAGAGGCUCCC